UACGGGGGGAGCAAGCGUUGUUCGGAUUUACUGGGCGUAAAGGGCGGGUAGGCGGCCACCGCAAGUCAGUUGUGAAAUCUCCGGGCUUAACCCGGAAAGGUCAACUGAUACUGCGGGGCUAGAGUGCAGAAGGGGCAACUGGAAUUCUCGGUGUAGCGGUGAAAUGCGUAGAUAUCAGGAGGAACACCAAUGGCGAAGGCAGCACUCUGGGACGUGACUGACGCUGAGACGCGAAAGCGUGGGGAGCAAACAGG
rnacentral:rRNA from 1 species